CUAUAUUAUACCCCCCAUCUACAUUUGAUACAGUUUCUCUGCUUAAAAAUGCUAGAAAUUUGAUGUAUUUAAUAUUUUUAUUAGGUCUUGAGUUUCAAACUUUCAUGGCCCCGAUAAGUUUAUCUAUGCAGCCCUAAAUAUCUUACAGGUGGAAGUUUAGUUGAUUCAACUUUUGCGGACAUAGUGUCCACAUGAUACUUGACUCGUGCGCUAAGUUUUAGAAGUUCUACCUCAAAACCUUACACCAUGUAGUACAAUCAUUAGAUAAAUUUUGAGCAAGAUUUGGAUGGCUGAUGAUACCAAGGAAUAAGGAUCCCUGUGGUUACAAGCAAAAGCAAAUAAAGGGAAGGGAAAUUAGUUUAAAAAAGAAAAUGGAAAUUUUUUUAUGUGGCUAGCUUAUAUUCUUACAGAAUAUGGUAAUUAAACUUUCCAAAUAGAUUCCUUUGCCCUAAUGUUUUCUCAAAUCCAAGUAACUAGGUUGAAAAGUGAAGUAAAAUUUAAUUACUAUAUUAAUAAGUAUUUACACACUUACACUACCAUUACAACAACAAAAAACCACCACCACCAUUACCAUAUUCCAAUUAAGCAUGUUAGGAAUUAUUAGAAAGUAUUCAUUUUAUUGUUGUUUCGAUUUCAUUUUCCUUCUUUUCACUUCGAAGGAAAAUAUUCAAGAAAUAUGGUUCAGUUUGGCUUUAAAAUUUGAAAGACGGGAAAUCCACAUCGUCCCAUUUUUGUCCAAUGGACACAAUUUCGCUUAUAGAUGAUCCAGGUUGUACUCUAUCCACACAAUGCAAUUCAAUAAAGUAAGCCCUCCAUGUGGUUCAAACUCUGGUGGCAUGAAUAUUAAGCUUAUUUUAAGGGCAAGUUUUACCCUAGUAUAGGAUUUGCCUUAUAUAUUAUAAAGUGGGCCAUCUUACCAUAGAUGCGAUUUUGGGACCUCCAUUUGUGUAUAGAACAUGGAUGAUGGAACCAAUUGUUGAGUUUGAUACAUAGUGUGGUGAGGGUUGGCAAGUUGCAGUCCCUUGUAUCUAUGCCUCCGCCCACCCCCCCCCCCCCCCAAAUUUUUAUUUUUAUUUUUUUUUAUCUAAUGCUUUUGAAGGGAUCUGGCUUGUGGUUCUUUGGUCUAACUGGGGUGUAUACAAUUUUUCUAGAGUAGAUUAUGUUUCUUCUUGUGAACUCUGCUUGCUUGAAUAGUUGCUGAAUGGCAUUUUUCUUAGUCUUUGCCAUCUUUCCUUGUCUCUUGCUCUUCCUCUUUGCCCUUUAGGACAAUUUUAUUGUCAGAAAGCUUAACUAUCAUGACAAAAAUUCACUUGCUCCUAUCAUCAUACCUGUUUAUGGACAGCAUAUGCACUCAUUUGAGAUGGGGUGCAAUGGAUGCAGAAGCAUAUUUAGAAUCCUGAAAGAGUGUGUUGCAAACUUUAUGGAAAAUUGGUGGUAGACAACCUGGGUUUGGACCCAUGUGGACAAAUGCUAGGGUCUGUGCUUUUGAAUCCUUGACUCAUUAUGAGGUCUGUCUACUGUUGAACUUGUAACAAAUUUUACAUUCUGCACUUCUUUGAUACCUUCCUCAAUUUAAAUCUCUGUAAAGUCUGGGUACUUCUUUUCUCUUGCUUCCACCCCCUCCUUUAACUACCCCCAUCUUGUAUUAGAAUUUUAUUUGGUUAUCUGUGUAGGGCUCCUAGGCUGUACUAUGUUUUCCAGGUAGAUCAUAUUCAGAAAAGCAUUCCUGAUUUCAAGAAAAUUAACAUAGACUUGCUUAUGUCUGAAGAUAAUGCUGAUGUACUGAGAGCCAUGGUGGAAUUUGAAGUCAAGAUUUUAACAUUUGAGCAAAUGUUAGGAAUAUGACUGCUUUUUAUUUUCUGUCUCAGCUUAAAGAAUAUGACAAGGUAACUGUACUGAUAAACUCUUCUCAAUUGACCCAGCAACCGUCGCUGACUGUUGAAGGAGAAAAGAGCUGUGGGGAAUAAGGUUGAAAAGUUGCUGAUAUCUUUCCUCAGGUUAUUGUCUACUCAGGUAUCAGGAAGUUUUGGAAUUUUGUAAUCUUUCAAGAUGAAAAGAUGCAAGUGCUUCUCAAUUCUAUUUAAUUAGGUAGAAAAACUGUCUUUUCCUGCAUUACUCUGGAGGUUGGUGUGUCAUUUGGCACCAUGAUUUAGUCAUUUAUUACUUUAUUGUCUUGGUGCCUUCUUAAAAGCUUUCUUCAGUGGUAUGGGCUUCCUUGAUUUUCUCAUUGUUGUUGCAAUCUCUUAUCUAUAUAUUGUUGUCAGCUUGUAAUGAAUCAUAUAGUACAAUACGCGAUGGAUGGAGGCUUUAGAAGUUGAUAUUUGGUAUGCUUGAGUAAAUUCCCACCUCUCAAAAAAAAAAAAAAAAAAAGAAAAGAAAAGAAAAGAAAAAAGGUAUGCUCGCAACUUGACUUAGGGUGGACUAGUGAACUGAAGAUAAUUCCUCCAAUCAUUUAUGUGGAGUGGAAGUUCUCCCUCAUUUGUAUCAUCUUUCAAAAUGCAAGCCCACAUAUAAUGCAAGUGAGACAUGCUGAUGCAUUAGGUUUGAGUAAAGUAGUCAUGCAACAUGGACUUGUUGAUUUUUUUAUUUUAUUUUAUUUAUAAUGUUAAUCGUACAUUCGAUUGUAUGGAGAAUGAGGAAAGGACCAAACGUGGAGGGGGAUAUGGCAAUGGUUUUCGCAAAUUUGAGAAGCUUGAAUUUUUGGAAAGAGAGCUUUUAAUUCCUAAGGUGUUCCUGAGCCUGGAGAGCUUUCCCAAUUCAUUCCAAUCUUAAAAUAGGACAAAAAUCCUUCAAACUUUGCCUCUUUCUUUUACUUUCCUUGCCAACAAAACAACAUUGCAAAAAUUAGUUUUUUUUUUUUUUUUUUGGUGGGUGAAUAAAUAAAUUCAUUGCCAAGAGAGAAAAACAUACAGCCCCAAUAAAAGGGGGGGGGGGAAGAGAUUACAGACUCAUAGAUUCCUGAUGAUGGAGCUAGAAAGCUCCUAGGAGUUUACAAUAUGACAUUUCCUAGGGGAGUGGUUACAUUGAGUAGAGAUCCGAGCGAUCUUUCCCUUGAUAUCAAAGGAGAUGGAGUUUUAUUUUAUUUUACUUUCCAUUCCUUCACUCUUUGAUCUAGCUUUCCUCUACUUUAAUAUCUGGACAACCGAGCAGGCCUAGUAUUGGGCAGAAGUGAUGGGGGUGUAAGUUCGUACUGUUGUGGAUGGAGUAGAGGAAGAUAUUAAAUUACUAUCAAUAGAUCUUUUUGGUAGAAAAUUAUGUAUUCUACCAUCCAUGGAUAUUGUGUGGUUUUUCCUUUUAUUUCUUAAUUUAUAAUUGUUGAACAGAUGUUUUAUGUUUGGCUAAUGAAUGCAUUUACUCUUAACUCUAGAUAAAAUAUUACGCUGUAAUUUGGAUUGAAAUAUUCAAUUUUUUCUUACAAGUUUCUAUAACUACUAUUACAAAUAUUGAAGGCUUGAACAUCAUUUCAAUGUAAUAAAAGAUAUAUGUUUCCCUUUUCAUGAUUUCAUCUGAAUAGAGACCUGCUAUGGGGAUUAUACUCCCAAUUUAUUGUCUUUUAUUUGGCUGAUUGAUGGUAAAAUAUGUUAGUAUUUUUGGUUCAGUGAAUCAAUAAUUGCUAAUUUCUUUGAUUUUUGUAUUUGUUAUGUUUAUUGGUAUAUUUCCAUAUGUCCUUGUUCCCCUAGGCAUUAUUUGCUUUUUGUAAGCAGGAAUCGAAAACUACUUCCACUAGAGAUUUCCCUGGUGCAGCUCUUCUGUCACUUCCUGUCGCUUCUGAAAAGGUACAUAAUCAACGGACACCAUAGGUUCAUAUUAACCGCAAUGUUUUAUAGUUAAACGGUUUCUUUGGAGAUUUUCUUAUAGAUUUGAAUUGGGUCAAGAGCUAUUAAACUUGCACAUAGCAUAUGAAGAUGCUCUAGUGAAAGUAGCUGAGUAUACUCUUUGCUAGAUAUGUGCAAGUUGUCGUUGGGCUAUAAACAUAUUGGAUGGGGUUGGGUAAUGACCCAUGCCUUCCUAGUUGAAAUAAUAUCUCAUCGUUACUCUUUAGGUUACACCACCACCCCCACCAAAACAAAAAAAAAAAAAAAAAAAAAGAGGAAAAAAAAAAAGGCUUUAUAGAAAUUCACAUUAUCUGGAGGGUAGACGGGUAAGGUGGGUAAACCUAUGUUUAAUAAAAUGUCCACUUUAGUAAGUCCUAACAAUUAGUAUAAAUAUUUCCGCAUAUUUAAUACUAUAAAUCUAUAACACAUUAUUUCCUCAUAAAACUCAAUAAACAACCAUACAAUAACCAAAAUCUAAAUAUGUUUAUUAUAAUUCAUAUAUUCAAUUUUCGUAUGCGUUAUAUGUGUAGCAACACUAAAGCAGAUCAGAAUAGUACCUGCGUAUGGAAUAACGAUGUAGAAAACAGAGUAAGAAGGAGAGAUUGAGAAGAUGGAAGAGAGAACUAGGGAAAACCUAGCUGUGGUUGUUUGUAUCUAUCCGUCAUGAGCCUAGGAAAGUAAUAUAUAUUAGGGUCAUAGAUUAAUUAAAACUAAAAUGAAACGAUGGUAAAGACCCCCCCGCAGUAGGCUACUUAAUCUAAUAACUUAAACAACACCAUAUAUAAUAAAUACCACCAUAAAUAGUUAACUGACACCUCGGCUACUAAACAGCACUAUCACUACAAGUCUACAGCUUUAACGAUAUGUUCUAUUUUUUUUUAGAUGGAUAAACAGGUAGACAGGGAGUGUGGAAUGCCCUCACCUAUACCCUACCCUUUUAGCUAAACAUUAUAAAACACUAAUCCAUACCAUCCCUCUUCAGGGUAAACAGUAUAGAACAAAUGGAGGGGAAUUGUGGAAGUUUGUAAAUUCUGAGGCCUUUCUUAAAUUUCUCGAUAUUGGGUGUAUUUGCUUCAUCGUUUUCAUUCACUAGGAUUUUAGUUUUCUCUAUUGUGUCACUCACUGUCUUGCUCGUUUCCAUUCAAAUCUAUGCCCAUUGUCAAGUUGAUGAUUGAAUGCUUCAAAAAUUUUCUGCGGAAAAGUGCAGAAGUAAGUGUACUUGUUGGCCAAAUUAUGCUCCUUACUCCUUAGGCACUUUUUGACAGCUUUGUUUGCUCUUCUCGGUUACUCAUUUUAUUUCCUUCAUUCCUGGCAAUAUGUAUUUUGUCACUCAACUCAUAUUCUUAAAAGUUUGAAGGAUUUAUCAGGACAUGAAAAAUCUCAUUGACGUUGCUGAAUAUCUGGUGGAUGCAUUUACGGUGAUCUUGAGGCAGGUGGUUGGAACUGGAUCGUUGAUCAAAGAGGCUCAACCAUGCAGCGUAGAACAGUUGGAAACUCUUCUAUCAUUUUAUACUGAUUUUCACAAUCUUUCUGGUGGGAGUGAGACCAUUUUCAAAACUUUCAAAUUGUGUAUUGCUCGUUCAGAAAGAGCUUGGAUUGCCAUACUUACCAGAACUGUUAUCAGUGAAGAUGUCCUUAUUUCUCAUACUUAAUCAAGCAGAAUUUGAACAUGAACAACUCUCCAUGCUAAAACUCACAGUUUUCUUGUUUAAGUAGAAAAUUGAAAAUGGACCCAUCUUCGUUAUCCACUUCUUACUUUCUAGGUUUGGCUUCAGUUUGUAAGACCAGUAUUAAAGUGAUGAACAGUGAUUGGAAACCAUGGAUGUCUCAACUCAGGGAAUAUUCUUUAUCGAAUGCUGAAAGAAAAAAGUCUCCACUAUUACCUUAAGCUGAAGGAAAUCUUCAUCAGGUACUUGCACAUCCUAAAAGGUUCAGUGAAUUUAGGUCCGAAAGAAAUAUUUAUAUCGUUAUGGCUGCUUCUGUUCUUGAUGUCUGCAGAAAAAAAUCCUGAUUGGGGCAUGCAUUGAGAGCCAAGAUCCAUAUAUACAAGCACUUGGUUUUCAAAUCCUUUCUCAUCUGUAGAUGUGGUUGAUUUUUAUACUGCCUGGGAUGUAAUUCCAAAGCAUGUGCUGGACUAUACAGUAGAUCCAUGUUCAUGGGUAAGAAUAUCUUAAUCAUC